rnacentral:tRNA from 1 species
GCGAAAGUGGCGGAAUUGGCAGACGCGCAGGACUUAGGAUCCUGUGGGGAGACCCGUGGGGGUUCGAUUCCCCCCUUUCGCACCA